AUAAACUGAGAACAAAACUGCAGCUGACAUCAAACCUGUCCAGUACGAACUCUGAAGCACCCAAGUAUGUGGAACAUAAAAAAAUUUAUGCUGGAAAAACGUAGGAUGGUUUGGAAGAGGCUCUAGAGGUUGGUGAAAAAGUUCACACAGAGGAACAUUCUAAGGAUUUACCAAAGAAACAUGUUGGAUGGAUGCAUGGAGCUCAAAUGGUUGUGUCUAAUAUGCAGGGAUGUGACAAAUAACGAUGGUUGAUGCAUGGGAUGUUUACAGCCAAUGAGAAUGCGGUUACUUGAAAAAGCCUGCCUUUUUUAUGCACAAGGGCUCAAAUGAGGUAGCCAAUUUUAAAUUUUUAGAGGAAGAAAGGUGGUUCUAUCCAGCAUGUCCCACCUGCUCCAAACAAAUGAGAAAGUAACCACAAAGCCAACCUCUUAACAUGCAGCAGGCUGUUUAUAGUAAUAUAUAAGAGAGAUGGGAGUAGAGUAAGUUCCGAAAAGCAGCUCAACUGAAAUUUCAGAGGAGCUAUCAUCUAUUGCAAAUACGGAUCUGACUUUCGUCACUACAAGCCUAAACCAUUUGUUGUCAAGCCUGACCAUGUUUGUUAUAUGUACAUAAACACCUACUAUCGGUAGCAUAUCUAACUUUGAAAUCUAGCCAACUUACCAGAUUUUUGAACAUGUAAAACAAUAUAUAAUAUAUAAUGUAGCAAUCUUAUAUAGACAAUGUUUCUAAAUUCAGUAGCAUUGAA